UCCUUUUGUUUCUUAAGUACUCGUAUAAUCACUUAACGCGAGAAGGAGGCGUGUUCAUCACUUAACGUGACUGCAUUCACAAGAGUGAAUUGGGGUAGAAGUAGAAUAGAAUUCGGAGUUAGAUCGAUCUACGUACCUGUAGAACGAUAGUUUCAUUGGGUUUGAGCCCUAAGAUAAAGUGAGAAGUAACCAACAUAUAAAACCGAAGAUAACCUUUGUCUUCGCUUGUUUCACGUUGGAGCUGUUUAUCAGUUAAUGCAGAGUGGUACCAACCAAUUCAUCUCAAGCUUCAAAUAG